AUGACAGUUUAAUGGAGCCUUCAUAAAAUAGUCUGGAAUCUUGUUCUCAGUGAUUUUCCAAUUCCUUUUCCAAUGUACUUCUUGAGCAUUGUCACUGAGAUCUAUCCAGGUGGAAAAGCAGCUGGAACCAGAGCAUUCCUCAGCAUUGGCUCAUCACAGAGCCAUAAAAAUGACAAAUUCCUGUGAGUCCAAGUUCCAGAUACCCCAGCCUGGCACACACCGGUGCUGUUGGGGAGAGAACCACAGACUCUUGCUUGGGUUUCUCCCUCUAGGGAAAAAAGCCACAAAGAGUCUUGGAUGCUCAGCUCAGUCCAUUUCAGUGGGCAUGUGUUCUCUACUAAUCGAUACUCAAUUUUGCCACCCGGGAGGGUGCUGUUUUGAGCAGCUGUAUGUCUAUAGGAAAUAAUAAAGUGAUUUAUUUUUAUGUUGAAAACUUCAAUAUUUGAUACACAUUCUAGCAAUAUUGCCUCCCGCCCACCACGCCUCUACCUCUAAUGCUUAAUCGUAAUGAGUUGUAGUUGCAACAGAUUAAAUCAAUUGAGAUUGAAAAUGAGAUGUAAAAAAAAAAAAAAAAAGGUAGAAAAGCAUAUCCUUUGUGGUCAAUGCUAAUCUUGCAAAGGAUUUUUUUUCUGUAAGGAAGUCUGCCAAGAGCAAAGAAGACAAUGAGGAUAGAAAGUGACUCACUGAAUCAGCAGCUUCAGAGAGGUAGGAAAGAGCUGGAAUUAGCUUGUGUUUUGGCAAAGAGAAGAGAAUCAAGAGGCUGGUUGGGGCCCCCCAGAAACGCAUCCUGUGAGAUGUGAAGGAGGAGUGUGUGUGACCGAGGGGGUCAGGAGGAUGGGGGACCAUGCUGCUUCAGAGGGAGGGUCAUCCGGGCCUCCAACAAUGUGGCCUCCACCCUCUCACACCUUAGCUCCCGGCAGGGCUCCUUCCUUUUUCCUGGAUUAGCUUCCUAUUCCGGACUCAACCUUCAAUGCUCCCUUUAAGUCAAUAAACUCUCCAAGAUGUGACUGUUCUCUCUACCCACUUCACUUCUGCUUGGGUUGUCACAGAUAUGGACUGUCAGAGCCUGGAUGACCACGUGGAACCUGCUUGAUAAGAAAAUUGGAUUGGUGGGGGUCACUCCCUUGGGACCCCAGCACUUAGUUCACCAGACUAAGAAAGCUGAGGCUAUAGGAUGCUGUUAAAACAAAGUCUCCCUAGGGGUGCCCGGGUGGCUCAGUAGGUUGAGCGUCCUACUUUGGCUCAGGUCAUGAUCUCGCAGUCUGUGGGUUCGAGCCCCACGUUGGGCUCUGUGCUGAGAGCUCGGAGCCUGCUUCCAGUUCUGUGUCUCCCUCUCUCUCUGCCUCUCCCCCGCUCAUGCUCUGUCUCUCUCUCUCUCUCUGUCAAAAAUAAAUAAACAUUUUUAAAAAAUUAAAAAACAAAACAAAACAAAGUCUCCCCAGACUUUCUCAAAUAAUCAUGGCCUGGAAUUAUCCCAAGCAUUUUGCAACCCCCUUCUGCCAUCACUCCUUGACUGUCAAAAAAGCUCCCAGUAAUGAAGAAGGAAGUCAUUUGUGUGUCCAUUUGAUAAUUGUCACAUACCUGCGAUAUGUCUGGUACUGGUGGUCAUAUUCAGGAUUCUUCAUGAAGACGGACGAGUGUCUACUCUCAUGAAACUAUAGCCCAAUGAGACAAUGGUGAACAAAUAAGCUGGAUCAUUUCAUGUGUUAAUAAAGGAUAUGGAGAAAUUCAAAUGCAGUGAUGUAGUACAGGGUGACUUUGGAGGGCCCACCUCAGUCUGAUUGGUCAAGAAGACCCUUCUGCGGAGAUGACAUCUAAACUGAGGUCAGAACAGAGAAGGAGGCAGACGUGACAAUGCCUAAGCAAGAGUGAGGUGGGGGGAGCCUUAAUAAGGGGCCUAAAUGGGGAGAUGUAUGGCUAGUUCAGUGGGAUGUGACUAGUGGUUCCCAACAGGACUGAUUCCCACCCUGGGUGAUUGGCAGUGUCUGGAGACAUUUUUGUUGUCACAGUGUGGGAGGGUGCUGCUGGCAGCUCAUGGAGAGGGCCAGAGAUGGCUCUAAACAUCCUCCACAAACAAAGAUAUAUUGGGACCAAAACGUCACUGAUGCUGAAAUUGAGAAACCCUGAACUAGAGGCUGUGCAUGAAGGCGCGGGUGGACAAGCUAUGGUGGGGAGGUCACAGGGUCGUAUCAGACCCUUGGGCACUCAUGACGAGUUUGGGCUUCAUUCCAGGGUGAUGGAAGGCCCCUGGAUACUCCUCCUUAGGAGCCCCGUGUGGUCUCCACAUCUUUUUUUUCUUUUAGUUAGGCAAAUACUACCUUUGGAAAGUGAUAGUAGAGGUGGGAAGGAAGUGGUACAUAAUUUACAGUUGUGGUAGUUGAGAGUAUUUACUGUGAUCACGCUCAUAAACGUAUGCUUGUUAAAAUCAGGGACAUCAUCAAGGAGUUGACUGGUUUCAGAUGAAGUGUGUCUGUUGCUCACAUAGGGAUGUUGGAAGGAUCGUUUAAGCUUUGCAUGGGAACUGUACCCUGUGUAUGAGACGUUAAAGUCUAGUAUAAUAAAUGCGUUGCAUGAUUUAAGAGAAAAUAUUAUGCAUAUCUUUUUAAAUAGACCGUGAUUGAUGCCUAAGUUGUUCUCUGCAGACUGUGUGUGUUGGGGGCUCCUUUAUUUCUGCAGGCUCGAAACAGGCAUUCGUGUACAUUCUCAUUCAAAACGCAAAGUCGAAGGCACAGAUUUUUUGAGGAAAGCUCUCAACUCGAUGCCAAAGAAAAAGGGGGGGGGGGCAUAGUUGAAAAAAUUGAGGGCCAUCGAGGAAACAGCUACAGCAAAGGAAGACAGACAUGCUGAGCAGUGACUGAAAGACAGCGGUGAAGCAGCACAUGGCAGGGACCCUGGGUAGAAAGCGCUGCCUACAGGGCUCCCUAGUUUCCCUCCAUACUUGAUUCCUUUCUCUUUUUUUCCCCUUGGCAUGCUGGUGUUACAGUUACCUCCUCCUCUGUGGCAUCCUGUCUGACCCCUACAUCUCUCUUCCCCAAAGUGCCUGUCAUGUUUCCCAUUUCCUCAUGAUCUCUAGUGUAAAUUGCUAGCCACUUGAAUAAACAAUAAAGUGAGGACAAGCUAAUGUAAUCAGUUGUUGUUAAUUCAUAACGAUUGCCAUUAUCUUCCAUGAUCACACUUCGAUUCAUUAAAACGCGCCCAGUGCCUGAGCUGCAGGCCACACCCAGUAGGCGUGGACUUCCGGGAAAGGCUGAGGCGGGCGCCAUUUUGACUUCCGGUUUCUGGUAGUCGCAUGCUCACUAGGUCACGGACGCGCCUGCAGGGGUCAGGCAGGAUGUAAGUUAGUGGCGCAGACCGUGUGUAAGACAGCCGUGAAAGAAAUGGUGCUGAACUGGAGAAUCAAGGGCCAUAUAAAGGCAGCACCUGCCACUCAGUGUCUACUGUGGGCCUCUUCCAGUGCGGCCAGAGCCUCCAGUUGAUCAACAGCAGUUUCCAAUAGAAACUUCCUUGUGUAAAAUCCCCUCCGCUUUAAAAUUCAAUGCAGGCCACCUGUAGGACUCCCGAGAUUCCCUGGAGAUCUGGCUUCUUCCAAGUGAAGACUGGCGGCAGCUCUGGAGGCGGUGAUGUUCAGGAAAUCCCACCUGUCCUCUCCCUGCUCAUCCGUCGGGACCCCCACUUAACUGCCCCCCACGCCCCAGCCACGUGUGUGCACCCCACAGGCUGUAUCUGCACUGUUUGCCUUCUGAGGAGCCCAGCACCAGGACCCAGCCCAUGGGCAUCCCCCCAUGGUGUUCAAAAGAGGGAGUAUUUCCUGCUGGUGGGGCUUAGUUGGAGGGGCCGGGUCCCCUACAGCAGGGCGCUGGGCGUCGGGCUGGGUCAGGGGAGAGAGCUACGUGCUGAGGCUGCUCUUCAGGGGAAGCCCGGAGAAACCAGCAGUGUGGGUCUCCUGGGACUCAACUCGCAGCUGUCGGGGAAAGACUGGCCUGGAGGAAGCAAAAGUUGUCAUUCCUACCAAGAAAAGAGGGGCAUUGAAUGAGUCUGCCGUUAUCUGCUGUUCAUGGGACCCUGCUAGCAGAUUUCAUCCAUGCAAAACGUUUUGUUCUAAGACAACGGAAGAGGACUUUUAGCAGGAGACAGCACAACAGGGCUUAAGCAUAGAAGGCAAACACAAUGACUAACGUGUGUCAGUGUCCAAGACUUAAGCUGGCUGCAAGAAAAUUCAGAAAAGUUUAAAGGCCACACCCCAGACUUCUGGGCCUAUCAGCUCACUUCUCUUCAGCCUUAGGGGCAGAAGACUUUGAAGAGCAUGACGGUGACCACGUCACUGCCUACUUCCUGAGGACUCAGCCACGAGCGCUCCUUUCGUUCAUCUGCAUGUAUCCAUGCCCCACCGCAUACGAUGCACACGGCGUUUUGUUGGAAAGGACAUGGCUCUGAAGUUAAAAGGAUCUGCCGAAAUAAUUGUUUCAACUAGAGUUUAAAAACCAU